rnacentral:sRNA from 1 species
UAUUAGCUCCGAUAGAAACGGAAUCCUUUUUUGUUACGGCCAAAACAUAAAUCAGAGGUUUACGAACGCAGUUCAGGAGGUCGUAACAAAAAAGAUACAGUACUUCGGCAGGCUCAGCA